CAGAACUUUCCAGAGAUGGAUUGGUGCCUUCGGGAACUGUGAGACAGGUGCUGCAUGGCUGUCGUCAGCUCGUGUUGUGAAAUGUUGGGUUAAGUCCCGCAACGAGCGCAACCCUUAUCCUUUGUUGCCAGCGGUCCGGCCGGGAACUCAAAGGAGACUGCCAGUGAUAAACUGGAGGAAGGUGGGGAUGACGUCAAGUCAUCAUGGCCCUUACGACCAGGGCUACACACGUGCUACAAUGGCGCAUACAAAGAGAAGCGACCUCGCGAGAGCAAGCGGACCUCAUAAAGUGCGUCGUAGUCCGGAUUGGAGUCUGCAACUCGACUCCAUGAAGUCGGAAUCGCUAGUAAUCGUGGAUCAGAAUGCCACGGUGAAUACGUUCCCGGGCCUUGUACACACCGCCCGUCACACCAUGGGAGUGGGUUGCAAAAGAAGUAGGUAGCUUAACCUUCGGGAGGGCGCUUACCACUUUGUGAUUCAUGACUGGGGUGAAGUCGUAACAAGGUAACCGUAGGGGAACCUGCGGUUGGAUCAC
rnacentral:rRNA from 2 species